CCUACGGGAGGCAGCAGUGGGGAAUAUUGGGCAAUGGGCGCAAGCCUGACCCAGCGACGUCGCGUGAGGGAUGAAGGCCCUCCGGUUGGUAAACUUUUUUUAUAGAGAAGUAAAGUGAGGCGAGUGUUCCUUUAUGUAUUGACUUUAUGAAUGCGGAUCGGCUCACUCCGUGCCAGCAGCCGCGGUAAUACGGAGGAUCCGGGCGUUGUCCGGAUUUAUUGGGUUUAAAGGGAGCGUAGACGGGUUGGUAAGUCAGAUGUGAAAGAUUGCGGCUCAACCUGAAAAUUGCAAUUGAUACUGGAAGACUUGAGUACAGUAGAGGUAGGCGGAAUUCGUGGUGUAGCGGUGAAAUGCUUAGAUAUUACGAAGAACUCCGAUGGCGAAGGCAGCUUACUAAACUGCAACUGACAUUGAGGCUCGAAAGUGUGGGUAGCAAACAGGAUUAGAUACCCUAGUAGUC
rnacentral:rRNA from 1 species